AGCAGCCGCGGUAAUUCCAGCUCCAAUAGCGUAUAUUAAAGUUGCUGCAGUUAAAAAGCUCGUAGUUGAAUUUCGGGGUCAGUAGGUUGGUCAUGCCACUGGUAUGUACUGGUCUCACUGAUUCCUCCUUCCUGAUGAGCCGUAAUGCCAUUAAUUUGGUGUUGCGAGGAAUCUGAACUGUUACUUUGAAAAAAUUAGAGUGUUUAAAGCAGGCUAACGCUUGAAUACAUUAGCAUGGAAUAAUGAAAUAGGACGUUCGAUCUUAUUUUGUUGGUUUCUAAGAUUGACGUAAUGAUUAAUAGGGAUAGUUGGGGGCAUUAGUAUUCAAUUGCCAGAGGUGAAAUUCUUGGAUUUAUUGAAGACUAACUACUGCGAAAGCAUUUGCCAAGGAUGUUUUCAUUAAUCAAGAACGAAAGUUAGGGGAUCGAAGACGAUCAGAUACCGUCGUAGUCUUAACCAUAAACUAUGCCGACUAGGGAUCGGAUGAUGUUAAUUUUUUAAUGACUCAUUCGGCGCCUUACG
rnacentral:rRNA from 1 species